UAAAGUUUAAAAAGUUAAUUGCUUUUAAAACAACUUCAAUUUUGUUAGCCUUGUAAUAUCUGAGUCGGAUGAAGACGGCUGAAGUCUAAGUUUGUCUUGGAAGAUUAGAACUUAUAGUUGAUCUACACUUGUAUGGUAAAGUUAUUAAGCCAAGAUUCGAAAAUUGGAGUCAAUCCUUAAGAAAUUGUACCUGCAUUACUGUCCUAAGGUUGACCUAGACGAAGGUUAAAAUUUGGGUUGAAAAUUAAGUCACCUAUGUCUUUAA
rnacentral:lncRNA from 1 species